rnacentral:miRNA from 1 species
AGGGGAUCUGGGAGGGGCUGUCAGGAGUACAGGCCGACUGCACCGCUCACCUCUCUGCAG